AGUAAGUCUCUAUCCCAUUUACACACACACACACACACACACACACACACCAUGUAAGGAGUAUUUCACAUAGUUUCUCACUAAGAAAUAGCUUUGGUCUCAUUUUCCAGUAUUGUGGUCUAUGGGCUGGAACCAGACUAAUAGUGCAAUCCUGCCCAUGUCUAGUCCUGUUGAAUUUAAAGUUGCCUACUCCCAGUUAAGGAAUGCAGGUUUAGAGAAGACUCACUGAAAUAACGUAAGACCCAUUGAUUUCAAUGGAUCUGCCUUAAGAAUGACUAAGUCUGGAUCUAGCUCAGCGAGUGUGAAGGCACUGGGGUAACUGACAAGUGUGAGACCCUCAUUCUUAAAUAUUUUAACUUUUGCAUUAAGAUUUAAUAGAAUUGUUGUUAUCUUUAUUUACUAAAUCCAUAUCCCCACACCAUCAACAAGUCUGUAUUCCCAGGGCGGCUUGACACAGAGACUACAAAUGCAUUGCAAUAGAAUUGAAGAAAAACAAAACAUAUGGAACAGUGACAAAAUCUACAGCUGCUAGUACCUGUACAUACUAGACUGUCCAUAUUUAUGUUUUGGCUCUUCUCCAAUGAAUGUCAAUGUGGUCCCUAAUCUUGAUGAAGGAGCGAUGAAGCAACUGAGCCCUGUGGCUAUAGUGUACAUUUCAGAGCCCAGGCUACAUAAACAGGAGGAUCUGCUACAGCUCUUUCCACAUCAAACUAAGGGAAUGCAUGUUUAAUAUUGCCCCAUUUUUUAAAAAAGAAUCCUGCUUUUAACCAAUUGGAAUAUCUGGGUGUGGGGUUUUAGACCAACCAUGGGUGCUUUGAGACAGUUCCUGUUUUCAAUCACACCAAGUUGCACAAUUAGAGUUGCUUGGAAAGUCCUGUGCAACAACCUACUUCCUCCAAAUAUUGGAGUUUUUGCAAUAAGGACAGUGAUGGGAAAAUGCACUGGGAUGUGUGGAUCAACACUUUUGUUGUUUAGUUGUGUCUGACUCUUUGUGACCUCAUCAUGGCUCCUUCGUGGAUCACUCCUUCAUGGAUCACUGCCUUGACUAUGCCGUGCAGGGCCACCCAAGAUGGACAGGUCAUAGUGGAGGGUUUUGACUAAACGUGAUCCACCUGGAGCAGGAACCUGCCAGCCACUCUAGUAUCCCUGCCAAGAAAACUCCAUGGACAAAAGCAACAGGAUCAACUCUUGCUUUGGUGCAAUUCAGAGUAGUGAAAAAUCCAAAGGAUAGCUACAUUUUGAUCUGCUGCUCUUCCAAACAUCUACAUUCCCCAAGACGCUGUGAAGUGUUUUGAGCACUAAAGAAGCACAAUAUAAAUAUUGCUGCUUGCUACCGGCCGAAACUUAAUCUGAGACAGGGGAAGUGAAACACAGGAUUGUAUUCAGUGCUGAACAGACAGACUUCCACUCAGACAAUGGUAUUUGGCUGCCUCCUCCUCUCUUCUUGCACACCUGCAAAAUUUGGUCCAGAGCAUCUCCUAGCAGUUUUGAAGGAAGCCAGAUGAACCUCACCAGGGAGGGCAUUCCACAAACAGGAAGCCACCACCAAGAAGGUCCUGUCAGAAAAAGUGCCAAUUGGGGGGACACCAGCACCAAGACCUCCCUUGACAAUUGUAAAGCUUGAGAAAUUUUGAAGAGAUGAUCUCUUUGGUACUAUAGUGUCCCAAGUGGUUGUUGGAAUGAACACCUGAAGUUCACCGGCAGCCAGCGCAGCGAUUUCCGGACUGGUGACAUAUGGUCCCAUCAGACUGCCCCACUCAGCAAUCUAGCAGCCAUAUUCUGCUCUACUUUUAGGGCUUAGGGAGGGUUGCAGAAUUACAUUGGCACCUGGUACCCUUUUCUUCCCUCGUGGCUCUUCAAAGGAACGAACCAGCUGAACCAGAUGAACAAAGGAAGGGGUGUUCAGCUAUGUGCCCAGCUGUCUUAUCCUCCCCAGGAUCCCUUUGGCUGUUUUAAGUGACUGCACCCACUGAAACAUUCCUUCGAAC